GGGCCCGCACAAGCGGUGGAGCAUGUGGUUUAAUUCGAUGAUACGCGAGGAACCUUACCAGGGCUUAAAUGGGAGAUGACAGGGGCAGAGACGCCCUUUUCUUCGGACAUCUUUCAAGGUGCUGCAUGGUUGUCGUCAGCUCGUGCCGUGAGGUGUCAGGUUAAGUCCUAUAACGAGCGCAACCCCUACCGUUAGUUGCCAGCGAUUCAAGUCGGGGACUCUAACGGGACUGCCGGUGCAAACCGUGAGGAAGGUGGGGACGACGUCAAAUCAUCACGGCCCUUACGUCCUGGGCUACACACGUGCUACAAUGGUCGGUACAGAGGGAAGCUACCCCGCAAGGGGAUGCGGAUCUAUAAAACCGAUCUCAGUUCGGAUCGGGGUCUGCAACUCGACCCCGUGAAGCUGGAAUCGCUAGUAAUCGG
rnacentral:rRNA from 1 species